UGGGGAAUUUUGGACAAUGGGCGAAAGCCUGAUCCAGCAAUGCCGCGUGCAGGAUGAAGGCCUUCGGGUUGUAAACUGCUUUUGUACGGAACGAAAAAGCUUCUCCUAAUACGAGAGGCCCAUGACGGUACCGUAAGAAUAAGCACCGGCUAACUACGUGCCAGCAGCCGCGGUAAUACGUAGGGUGCGAGCGUUAAUCGGAAUUACUGGGCGUAAAGCGUGCGCAGGCGGUUAUGUAAGACAGAUGUGAAAUCCCCGGGCUCAACCUGGGAACUGCAUUUGUGACUGCAUGGCUAGAGUACGGUAGAGGGGGAUGGAAUUCCGCGUGUAGCAGUGAAAUGCGUAGAUAUGCGGAGGAACACCGAUGGCGAAGGCAAUCCCCUGGACCUGUACUGACGCUCAUGCACGAAAGCGUGGGGAGCAAACAGGAUUAGAUACCCUGGUAGUCCACGCCCUAAACGAUGUCAACUAGUUGUUGGGGAUUCAUUUCCUUAGUAACGUAGCUAACGCGUGAAGUUGACCGCCUGGGGAGUACGGUCGCAAGAUUAAAACUCAAAGGAAUUGACGGGGUCAUAGCUGUUUCCU
rnacentral:rRNA from 1 species